CCUACGGGGGGCAGCAGUGAGGAAUAUUGGUCAAUGGGCGAGAGCCUGAACCAGCCAAGUCGCGUGAGGGAGUACUGCCCUAUGGGUUGUAAACCUCUUUUGUCGGGGAGCAAAAGCCGGACGUGUCCGGCUGUGAGAGUACCCGAAGAAAAAGCAUCGGCUAACUCCGUGCCAGCAGCCGCGGUAAUACGGAGGAUGCGAGCGUUAUCCGGAUUUAUUGGGUUUAAAGGGUGCGCAGGCGGAUUUUUAAGUCAGCGGUAAAAUCGUGGGGCUCAACCCCAUCCAGCCGUUGAAACUGGGGAUCUAGAGUGUGCGAGAGGUAUGCGGAAUGCGUGGUGUCGCGGUGAAAUGCAUAGAUAUCACGCAGAACCCCGAUUGCGAAGGCAGCAUACCGGUGCACAACUGACGCUCAGGCACGAAAGCGUGGGUAUCGAACAGGAUUAGAUACCCGGGUAGUC
rnacentral:rRNA from 1 species